AAUCCAAUCAAGCCUGGCUUGGUGUUGGGCGUCGGGGACUCCCCGCGCCCCAAUUUCACCGGCUGGCCGUCGCCCGUCUUAGCGUUGUGACACAUUUUCGCUAGCGAUCGGGGGGCGGACAGGCCGUCACAAUUCAUGAAUUUCAGUCGAAGUUCGAUCAA
rnacentral:misc_RNA from 1 species